AACGAACGCUGGCGGCAUGCCUAACACAUGCAAGUCGAACGAGACCUUCGGGUCUAGUGGCGCACGGGUGCGUAACGCGUGGGAAUCUACCCUUGGGUUCGGAAUAACAGUUAGAAAUGACUGCUAAUACCGGAUGAUGACGUAAGUCCAAAGAUUUAUCGCCCAAGGAUGAGCCCGCGUAAGAUUAGCUUGUUGGUGGGGUAAUGGCCUACCAAGGCGACGAUCUUUAGCUGGUCUGAGAGGAUGAUCAGCCACACUGGGACUGAGACACGGCCCAGACUCCUACGGGAGGCAGCAGUGGGGAAUAUUGGACAAUGGGCGAAAGCCUGAUCCAGCAAUGCCGCGUGAGUGAUGAAGGCCUUAGGGUUGUAAAGCUCUUUUACCCGGGAUGAUAAUGACAGUACCGGGAGAAUAAGCUCCGGCUAACUCCGUGCCAGCAGCCGCCGUAA
rnacentral:rRNA from 1 species